ensembl:lincRNA
GCGGGGGUGCGCGCGAGGCGGGGGGGCAAUGAGGUCGCCGCGGCGGCGCGCAGUACGGCGGGAACAUGGCGCGCGGAACCGGCGCGCGCGCCUAGCUGGCGGGACCGUUAGCUCGAGGCGGACGCGGCCCGGGCCCCGUGGGGAUGGAGCAGUCGCCGCCGUCGGCGCCCGAGUCGACCCCAGGGCCGACCCCCGCAAGAAGCCGAAGGAGGCGGGAGCCGGAGUCGCCGCCGGCGUCGGCGCCGAUUCCUCUCUUUGGUGCUAACACCAUUGGUCAGAGAAGUCCUGAUGGACCCGUACUGAGCAAAGCUGAAUUUGUUGAGAAAGUUCGUCAGAGUAAUCAGGCCUGUCAUGAUGGAGAUUUCCACACAGCUAUUGUUCUGUAUAAUGAAGCCCUGGCUGUUGACCCUCAGAACUGCAUCUUAUACAGCAAUAGAUCAGCAGCCUACAUGAAAAUCCAGCAGUAUGACAAGGCACUGGAUGAUGCAAUCAAAGCUCGACUUCUCAAUCCCAAAUGGCCAAAGGUACCCAUCAUUAUUACCUAAACAUCAAGAUCCAAGGUCUAGUGAUAAACAGGCAAUAAUUUUUCAGGUAUGAGGUUAAUUCCUCUCUUGUUUUGCAUAAUGACUGUGUCAAAACAUCCAUCUUUACACUUUCCUUUUCCUUUUCAUCUCCUUACACAGGGUCUUGCUUUCUGCUUUACAGGGAAAAUAAAGAUCAUCAGGUUUUAAUUUCAUCUAUUUCCUGUAAUCCCCUUAUAUUAUAAAUAUGUGUACAUUUGUAUUCACUUGAUGUCUACCUUUCCAUAUAUAGAAAUCUAUGGAGUCUUGCCCCAUCAGUUGUUCUCUCACUCUCUUAUAUCUUUAAUCUUUCUACAGAUUCUUUUUAAAAUUUAUAUAUUAUUGAUUUCUAUUACUUCUUUUUGUAAAACUGUGUCCAGUACGGAUGUAUCUAAAACAGAGUUAAAAUUCGUCUUAUUACUUUCUUUUUUAAACUUAUAAUAGUUGAAAUUCUGGGAUACAUGUGCAGAACGUGCAGGUUUGUUACAUAAGCAUACAUGUGCCAUGGUGGUUUGCUGCACCCAUCAACCCAUCAUCUAAAUUAGGUAUUUGUCCUAAUGCUAUCCCUCCGCUUACCUAUCUUUCUAGAGAUUCUUUAUUGUUUCAAUACUGUAUUUCUCUCUUCAGUUCUUUAUUGACCUUUAAGACAAUGAAUUUUGGCAUGAAAAAGACCCAGUUUUAUAAUCCCAGCUCCACCAGGGUGUCCUUGGACAAAUCAGUUGGUCCCUCUGAGGCUUAAUUUCUAUAAAAUGGAGAUAAGACUUACUAAAGUUUUGUUUUGAGGAUCAUGUAAACCAGGGGUCCCCAACCCCUGGGCCACGGACUGGUACUGGUUCAUGGCCUGUUAGGAAUGAGGCCACACAGCAGGAGGUGAGCAGUGGGUGAAGCUUUCAUCUAUAUUUAGUCACUCUCCAUUGCUUGCAUUACUGCCUGAGCUCCAUCUCCUGUUAGAUCAGCAUCGGCAUUAGAUUUGCAUAGGAGCCUGAACCCUAUCAUGAAUUGCGCAUGCACAGGAUCUAGGUUGCGCGAAUUUAAUGCCUGAUGACCUGUCAUUGUCUCCCAUUACCCACAGAUUAGACCGUCUAGUUGUAGGAAAACAAAUUCAGGGCUCCCACUGAUUCUACAUUAUGGUGAAUUGUAGGAUUAUUUUAUUAUAUAUUACAAUGUAAUAAUAACAGAAGUAAAGUACACAAUAAAUGUUAAUAUGCUUGAAUCAUCCUGAAACCAUCUCCCCAACCCAACGGUCCAUUGAAAAAUUGUCUUUCACGGAACUAGUCUUUGGGGCUGAAAAGGUUGGGGACUACUAAUAAGAACUUAAAUAGAGUAAUCAAUGUAAAGGUCCUGGUCCUUAUUUCAAAUUCUCUUAUAUGAUGGUUUCUUCAUGAUCUCCCUCCCUCCCUCCCUCCCUCCCUCCCUCCCUCCCUCCCUUCCUCCCUUCCUCCCUCCCUUCCUCCCUUCCUUCUCUCUCUCUCUCUCUCUCUCUCUCUCUUCAGAGCCAGACUUCUUAAUAGUCUAUAUUUGUAGUCACUACUUGAAGUCUAGGUUGCCACAUCCACUAUUCUAUAACUUCUUAGUCCAAGUUUACCGUUGAUCUUCUGAUUGCCAGAUCUGAUGAGCACUUUUCAGAACUUCAUCAUUUAUUUUUCAUUCCAACCCUUAAAAUAAUUCUCUUGCAAAGCAGACAGAGAAAGCUUUCUAAAUGUAAACAGCUUUCUAAAAUAUAAAUCCAACUUUUUAAUAAGUCUCCAUCACCUGCAAAAUAAAAUAAAUCAUUUCUGGUAGGAAUAAAAGGACUCUUCAUCUAAAUCUGUGUUGUCCAGUAUGGUAGGUGUUAGGUAUAUGUGGCUAUUUAAAUCUAAACUAGUUAAUUAUAGCUAAAUACAAUUUUAAAAAACAGUCUCUUAAACUAGCUACAUUUCAAACAUUCAGUAGCUACAUGUGACUAAUGGCUACUAUGUUAGUCAGCUUAGACAUAGAAUCUUCCCAUUAUCACAUAAAGUUCUAUUGGACAUUGCUGAUCUGGAUCCAAGAUAUUAAAAAAUGAGAGACAUGGGUUAGAAUUACACCAGAUUUAGCUAGGCUGGACCAAGGAAGUAAAGGUGGUGAUGCUACAGAAAUUCUAUUGUUAACCUGUACAGUCCAGGGUUCCUGGGGAGAAGCCUGCCUUGAAAUGAGGAAUAUUUUGAAUGAGCAGUAGGAGCAAUGGUGGUAUCAGGAGAGGUGAGAGCUACUUUUGUCAUUAUGUUGGAAUAAUGAUGAGGAAGAGAAGGAAUCACGUUGAAUUAAAAAAAUGGAAUACAGCUGGAAUUUUGCUUUUUGCAUCAGGCUAUUCCAGAAGAAAAAAACAUUUGAUAAAAGAAUGUGCCUGUAGUUCCAGCUACUUGGGAGGCUGAGGUAGGAGGAUUGCUUGAGCCCAGGAGUUUGAGGCUGCAGUCAGCUAUCUAUGAUCGUGCCACUGCACUCCAGACUCGGUAACAGAACAAAUCUGUCUCAAAACAAAACAAACCAAACACACACACACACACACACACACACACACACACACACACAUACACACACACAGGGAGAGAGAGAGAGAGAGAGAGAGAAGAAUAUAUUUAUAAGAAUAACUAGUUUUUGGGAUUUUAACCUUGUGGUAAAUAAUACCUCACACCUGGCGUUGACCCAUCUGCUUUUUUGGGUUUAAAAGAAUUUUGCACGCAUAAAUGUUUUUGCAAAGUUGGAAGUGAUAUUUUUAUUCUUAUAUUCUGUAAAUAGUCAUCUCCAGUCUUUAGAUUUGUUUCCUGGUCUGCUUAUAGUCAAGAAUGUUGUAACUGUUAUACUGUACUCCUAUCUGUGUAAGUUGUUAAUGCUGUGAUUUUUUAAAGCUCCUGGAUAUUAAUGUUUUAAGUUCUUGAACUUCUGCAAGAUGGUCCAUAUUGAAAGAGGCCGCUGUAAAAUGCAGAUGCUGACAAGGAGGAAAACAAAGAGUUUCACAAGGAAUUAUGGGUAUUGAAUGUAACUCUUUAGUUCACAGUUCCAUAAAACUGUGUUGUUUCCAUAGUACUACAUUCUGUCUUAACCUUUGUUGUAUUGCACAGCUCAUUUUAAGGAAGAAUGAAUUGUUAGUCAUCUGCUUUUUAUCUUGCAUUUUAACUUUCAAUCCUUGGAAAGCAGGAAUUCCACUCUAUUCAAAGCAAUAUUCUAC